GGGGGUCUGAGAGGAUGAUCCCCCACACUGGUACUGAGACACGGACCAGACUCCUACGGGAGGCAGCAGUAAGGAAUAUUGGACAAUGGGCGCAAGCCUGAUCCAGCCAUGCCGCGUGAAGGAUGAAGGCCCUAUGGGUCGUAAACUUCUUUUAUACGGGAAAAAACCCCUUGAUGCGUCGAGGGUUGAUGGUACUGUAAGAAUAAGGGUCGGCUAACUUCGUGCCAGCAGCCGCGGUAAUACGAAGGACCCGAGCGUUAUCCGGAUUUAUUGGGUUUAAAGGGUGCGUAGGCGGAUUGGUAAGUCAGUGGUGAAAGCCUCUCGCUCAACGGGAGAACUGCCAUUGAUACUGCUAGUCUUGAGUAUGGUUGAGGUGGGCGGAAUGUGUCAUGUAGCGGUGAAAUGCUUAGAUAUGACACAGAACACCGAUUGCGAAGGCAGCUCGCUAAGCCAUAACUGACGCUGAGGCACGAAAGCGUGGGGAGCAAACAGGAUUAGAUACCCUGGUAGUCCACGCCCUAAACGAUGAUCACUCGAUGUUGGCGAUACACAGUCAGCGUCUAAGGGAAACCAUUAAGUGAUCCACCUGGGGAGUACGACCGCAAGGUUGAAACUCAAAGGAAUUGACGGGGGCCCGCACAAGCGGAGGAGCAUGUGGUUUAAUUCGAUGAUACGCGAGGAACCUUACCUGGGCUUGAAAGUUAGUGACCGUCCCUGAAAGGGGACCUUCAGCAAUGACACGAAACUAGGUGCUGCAUGGCUGUCGUCAGCUCGUGCCGUGAGGUGUUGGGUUAAGUCCCGUAACGAGCGCAACCCCUAUCAUUAGUUGCCAACAGGUAAAGCUGGGGACUCUAAUGAGACUGCCCGCGCAAGCGGUGAGGAAGGUGGGGAUGACGUCAAGUCAUCACGGCCCUUACGUCCAGGGCUACACACGUGCUACAAUGGCAGAUACAGAAGGUUGCUACAUGGUAACAUGAUGCUAAUCCCUAAAGUCUGUCUCAGUUCGGAUUGAGGUCUGCAACUCGACCUCAUGAAGCUGGAUUCGCUAGUAAUCGCGGAUCAGCUUGCCGCGGUGAAUACGUUCCCGGGUCUUGUACACACCGCCCGUCACACCAUGGGAGCGGGUUCUGCCAGAAGUAGUUAGCCUAACCGCAAGGAGGGCGAUUACC
rnacentral:rRNA from 1 species